AUGCUGGACUCGAGCAAGAAGUUCCUGUCUACUGGGACGGGCAUCUUCUCGGUAUUCAGUACCAUGCCAACCCAACAAGAUUUGACCAUUGAGAGGAGGGUCUUCAUCUUCAUCAUCUCCCGGCCUUGCGCUCCCAACCAUCAUCGUUGCUGGAAAAAAAUACUAAAGAGGUUAGCAGGUUUUCACUCUUUUCCGCAAUUUAUUUCUAUUAUAGUGUCUCGGUUAGUAACUCGCAACAGGGGAGUACCUGCUAUCCAUGCUACCCAUCUGAUGCAUGUAUUCAGUGCAGCAAGCAUGCCCCUUAAGUUAUUAAGGCCAACCAAAUUGUUUUCCUCAUUUAGUUCCUCUUCAUGCAUCGUGUAA
rnacentral:rRNA from 1 species